rnacentral:rRNA from 1 species
AACGAACGCUGGCGGCGUGGAUUAGGCAUGCAAGUCGAACGCGAAAGAGGGGGCAACCCCUCGAGUAGAGUGGCGAACGGGUGAGUAACGCGUGAAGAACCUGCCUUCGAGAGGGGGAUAACACUCCCAACGGGGUGCUAAUACCGCAUGAGACCACGGGUCCACCUGGACCUGAGGUCAAAGGUGGCCUCUGCUUGCAAGCUACCGCUCGAAGAUGGCUUCGCGUCCCAUUAGCUAGUUGGCGGUGUAACGGACCACCAAGGCGACGAUGGGUAGCUGGUCUGAGAGGAUGGUCAGCCACACUGGGACUGAGAUACGGCCCAGACUCCUACGGGUGGCAG